UCUUUCUCUUUCUGUCCCUUUCUCCAUUCCCUCUCGCCGGCCCGGUCCGCCCUGUCGCCGCGACGAGCGACAAAUGUCCCGGUGCACUUAUCGCCGCGUUGAUAUUCAUAGAACAAUCACGGCGGCGCGAUCGAGCGGAACGCAAUUAUCGCCGACGCGCGGCCGAAAUGAAUCUCCUGGCGCGCGAAACGGUGGCAGGAGUCCCGCUCGCUCGUUGUCGGAGCUUAUAUUUGCUCUUCGACGUGCGAUCGCCACUCGAUUUUCGAGCCGUCUCGCGUGGCUACGUCGCGUGUUAAAGCGGAUCCUCCCCGUGGGAGGGUUACGCGCAUCCGGGACGCACCUGCAUUCUGCUCUGUUUAAGAAAACUAGCAGGCUCGCUUAUCCUCAAAGUCGAACGUCAAAGUUUGACAGAUUGCGAAAAAUGACUCCACCCCUCUGCCUCUUCUCGAGACAUUUUUGCUAAGAAAAUAUCGACUCGGAAAUGAUGAUGAUGAGGAUAAUUAUGACUAUUAUUAGAUACUGCAGACUAUAAUUGUUCGAACCUCGGACGUCGCUGACACGAAAACAGGAUUUUCGCGCAAAGAUCAUGCAUCAACGAUCGAUCAGCCUCGAGGAUUCUUCGACGCAGCGACAGAAGAGGUCGAGUACACAAUGGAUCGUACGUUAAAUCUCCGUUCACCUUAUUCGAACGCGUGACUUUAUUCUCGCGUGCGUGAAUGACGUACGCGCACGUUUGCGGACGUCGCGUCGUGAUGCACACGAGCGAGAGACGUCUGCUUGAAAUAUUAUCGGCGCGAAUCGUGAGAGAUCGUCAUCUCGAUGGAGAAAAGGGAGAGAGGGGUGAAAUCGCGCAAUUAAUUUCGCGCGAUCGAUUUUGAAAUCCCUGGGCCCCCAGGCGUGCGCUGCACCCCGCGAAUGACUUGCCGGCUGGAAUUAUGAACACGCUCGGGUGUGCACGUUGCGUCAUGCUUAAUACCGGAACACGAGCGGAUAAGCCGAUGAAAAUAUCGCCCAUACAGUAUCGGCCCCGACACGCGGCUGAUCCAGUGCUGCGCGUCCGAGCGCUAAUGCAUAAAUAUGCAUUCGAUUAAGCGUCCAACGGCAGCGAGGAACUCUCGAUAUUCUCAUUAUAUUGAGCCGCGUGCGUUCGCGAGAGCACACGCGGAACAAUUAUUUUCAGCGGUGAUGUCGCGCGCGAGAUGCAGCGUGUUUGUACGAUAAAAUAAAUCACCGUUUCACUGGCGAUCAGAUAUUCAACUCAAUAAUUAGCUAUAAUUGCUCAAAGUUCCCGAGACCACUCGAGCAUGAAUAGUUUUUACUGAAAUCGUGGGCAAUUCAUUAACGAUUCGAUUACCUCAAUUUGGUGAAAGUAAAUUAGUUUGAUUUUACCUCACACAUAUCAUUGUUAUCUAAUUGAAAAUGAAAUAUAUUUGUUAUAUAUUGAUUUAAUUAUUUUAUUUCUGCCUGUCUUUAAGAUUGCAACAAAUGUUUUGAAUAUUUAGUCUCUUCGUGUAUUUCGCAGUGAUCAAUGUCUCCCGAAAUCCAUUUAAAUCUCGUUGAGACCCAUUGUGUUUUACGGCUUGAGUUAUGCCGAUUCCAACGAUUCAUGCAUGCUUUGCAAGAGCGUAUUAUAGCGCAACAGAUCGCCUCGAAAGUGGAUCAAGCUGGCGUGCGGAAAUUCGAAAUCUCUCUCUCUCUCUCUCUCUCUCUCUCUCUCUCUCUCUCUCUCUCUCUCUCUCUCUCUACAGUACAGUCCAUUAUCGAGGAUGUUUCGUGAGCCCUUUGUUCCAAUUUCUAUGUCGCUAUCGUUUCGUUAUGUCGCAUUAAUUCAUGCGUAGACACAUGGUUUACAUGCGUGCAUGCAAACCCGCAUUUUCGGUCACCCUUCGAUGUGCAUUGUGCGAAGUGUCGCACAGUAUCACACUACAAAUGCACAUAAAACUGCGAUAGCGAUCACCACCAUCGUUACACACAUUUUCGAGGGGCUUUAUUCCGCCAUACGAAUCGACAUUAAAAGAUAUCCGCGAGCUUAUACGGCGCAAUAAAAUACGUAAUCGCGACAAAUGCUAUCGCGAAUCGAGCUUAUACGAACCGUAUGAUUCAGUUACUAUUUUACACUACAUCACAUCGUUAAAAGUUUUAUUCGAUUUCAAAAACUUGUUUGAGUGUAAAUUUACAAUUGACACCGAUAGGUGCUGCAAUAACAUUAAAAAAAUUGCCUGAUACAAGAGAACCUUUAACAAAACACAUAAAAAAUUAUUGUUUUGUCAAAUAUUUUGUUAUUAAAGAAAGUUCUCUUAUUAAAAAGAAAUACAUAUAUCUAAUAUUCAUUUUUCAUGUAAAAACUCAAACCAGAAAAGUAGUGACAUGUAUUUUUGGUCUUUUUAUUUAAUACGUCCCUGCUACUAAAUUCUUGCAGAAACUUUGACAUAGAUUAAGGAUUAGAUUGGAUAUUUAGCAUUUGGUACAUCAAAUCAUAUUUUACAUGACAGUCAUCAUUCUAUUCGUUCGAUUGCGCAAGCGUUUGGGAAAAUAAACGAAUAUCAGCGUGAAGAUUGAUCGAACGACGCCAGCCGCCGACUCUCUAUCCGAUAAUAUCCUUCUGUCCCCGUGUAUCUUUUCCUUCCCGUGUACUCUCCCUGCCAAGUUUUCCCGGAGGAGGCCCAUCGGUGAGAGAAAAAUCCGAUGGAACGGAGCCAAGCCGAGCGCGGAAAAGUCGUGCCGACCGUCAGAAACAAAAGUCACUCUUCUCGUCAGGAAGAGCAAAAGAGAGAAAAGCGAGGUUUUCAUGGAAGUAAUAUCCGGUCGCUCCUUUCGCCCCGCCUCGCAUUUGUAUAAGGACGUUACAUCCGCGUACAACGCACACCCAUACACACACCAGACGCAUACACAAACGCACACAGUGUAUAAAAGCGGGUGUACAUAUAACGCGAUGCAUUUCAAAGCCGCGUUUACGUCAGCGAGUUCGGGGACGUCCUUUAACGUCCCGUUCGCGUCGACGACGACGGCGCGGUUCUCCAUCUCGAUUCUCAAAAGGAUUCCUUUCCCUUCGGCCUCGUGGUGCUCUCCGUUUGCGAGGCCCAACCUCCGCGGUCUGCAAUAAUUCCGCAGAAAAGACAUCCCUCUUUUUAUUCCCGAUGGGAGCGGGAAUCGUGAGAAGGCCGACAGAUCCGUUCGGCCUCGUCCUCGAUCACCACCGAGACAGGAAUUACUGAAGCGAGGUGAACUUGGUCUUUCUCGGCACCGCAGGGUAUCGCGACGUCUUUUUCAAGAUCGGUACCGCGAACGAUCGUGCGCGCGAUGUGUUACGUAACAUUAAUCCUUCACUGUCUGAUGUAGCUUUCAAGUGACACAUACAUUUAUGUAAUUGUACAUCAUCACGUUCUCUUGUGUAUUCUGCAUUCUUGUAAUGUUUAUUUAAUUUUUUCACAUGCUUGAAGAGCAUACAUCAACGUUAAAUCAUACAUCUGAUUCUAUAAAUGCACGCGCAAGAAUGCAGCAUUUGCGUGUCCGCGGCGCUUUCGCAGGCGCGUUGCUCGUUUUUGUCGGCGUGAACAUGAUCAAAUGAAGCUUCCCGGCGAUUGAGGAGACGCGAUAAUACAUGGUGCCCUCACAUAGCAUGCCGGCCCUUAAUCCCUUUGCGACUCCAACACAUGUCGAUCGGAUAAUUCCGCGCGUCAUCUGGAUGAGCCGCAAUCAUUGAUGCGGGCAUGCUCUUCAUCAAUGAAUUUCAUGAUGGACCAAAGGCGAUGCAUAAAUCAACACAGGCUAGAGUUCACUGAGUGAAAUGCGAAUGUUUACCUCGAUAAAUUUAAAAGGUAUAUGGAUGGCGCAUAAAUAAAUAAACAAUAAAAAUACAUAGUAAUGCACAAAACAGUACAUAAAUAUAGAUAUGAAACAACAGUCAUUUGUUAGCAAAUUACUAACUUCAAGUUUUACCGUAAAUAAUAAUUUUACAUUGUGCAUUAAUUGACAUUUAAUAUAAAACAUAAAUUAUCCUAAUGCAACAAUUUGUAUAAGGAAAUAGUAAAUGUUUAUCAGUAAAGUUGCAUCUCUUUGCAUAUACAUAUGUUAUGUCUCUCUCUCUCUCUCUCUCUCGCGGCUCCAAUAUCCGCGAAUAAAUAUAUUACUGGCUAGGAUUACAUCGUUAUCAUAUAUUUAUGACGUCAUAGAGAGAUAUGAAAAUUGAUGCGUUAACAUCCGUGCACAUACUAAAUUCAUAAAGCUUCGAAAUCAAACAUACUGUGAUGAAUGCAAUUCAUUGAGAGUAAUCAAUCUUUGCUGCUUUAAGGUAAUGAGUAUACGCGCAAUUUACGCACGUCAUCGCCGACAUUUUUCUCUUUCAAUUAAAAACUACUCUCUUGAUUACACCUUCUAAGUUUAUUAUCGCGUCGAAGUCACAGACAAUUGAGUAAGACCUGAAUUUCGACGACGAGACGAAAACAUUCUCGAAACUGACUUCGACCAUUAAUCAAUCUUCCUUCUUGACUCUCCUGAAAAACGUACAGCUCCAUUGCGAGAAACUUCAUAAUAGCGUGAAAACUUUUCGAUACAAACUCCAUAACAGCGCGAAAACUUUUGCCACGUUAUAUUUCUCCAACGUAACGCAAAAGCCACAUAUCCGAUAAAAUGUGGCUUUUUUAUAUCAACACUAAAACUUCAGUGCAUAUAAUUCACAAUUUCUGUAUAAUGUUCUGUAAAAUCCUGUAUAACUUUACAUAGAACCUUCGAUUACUCUGAUAUAAUGAUAUCAAUCGAUUAAUCUAAUAUCUGGAGGUCUUUUUCUAGUCGUAAAUUCUCGAAUUCUGCAUUUUGUAAAAUUUAUACUUUAUACAUCAAGAUCUAGAUCAACAGGGAACGAUAUUUUCCGCGUGCACAACGGGACGUGCGUUUUCCAAAACAAAAAAAAAGGACGAGAUACACGAGAGCAAAAUUAAUAGCGCAGGAAGAGACGAGUCAUGCAGAGAUGCACUUAGUAGUCCGUCAGUCGUUCCCAUUGUGUGUAUGUGUAUUCGCGAGUCUCCAUAUUUAAGAAUUAUAAAGUACCUCGCCCAUGCGCGCGUGUGCUCGUACAUAAAGGACAGCUCGCCUGCAGCGUGCCCUUGUUUCUCUGCAUACGCAUUGUGCUGCAUCGGACGCCGCAAUAACGCAUUUCACGUAGGACGUACUCGUCCGCGACAGAACCUUUGUCCGAUUUUUGCACAAAGCUGAUGAGCAAGAAAGCUGGCCAUGUGUUUACCGCGAACUAAUCGUGAAUCCAUCGAUGAAUUGUUGAAUUUGCUCCUAUCCAAUCCGUCUUGUUAACAAAACGUAGAUAAUCAAAUCAGAACGUGUACAAAUCACAGUAAAAGGAGUGACACUUCUAAUUAAUUAUCUAUUAGAAAAGGAAUUAUCUUUUCAUAAAUUAUUUUUAUAUUUUAAUAACUUUUACACUUUAUUUAUGUGACGAUGAAUUGUCCGUUUUGCAUACGAGUCAGUAGUAAAUUAAAUCAGUUAUGUACUGCGUUAGAGUAGAUGCGGCGAGAUAAGCGACUCGAGCAGCAAGUAAGUUGCAAGGCAAGCCGGUUGGCAAGGAUUCAUUAUUUUUGCAAGCUAUCUACUCUCUGCGAUUGCUCGACCGCAUGCAAGCAGCCGUGCGCUUUCGGCUUGCGUCUUGUAAGACGUAUUAAGGACACGCGCGAUCAAUUUCGCCGCACAGAGUUGUCACGUACACAUUCAAACUUUCAUAUCGCAAUCUCGGCUGUACAACGAGCGUCGUGACUGAUGUCCGACGAAGAUGUUUCCACGGAGGACACUCGAUAUAUCUGAACAGGAUAGCACCGGCCGGUUCACAGGGGAACUGUUACUUGUUGGGGGAGGGUGUACAGGAGAGGGAGAUUUAUGGCCGUGUCCUAUCGAUUUGCGAUAUUUCGCCGGCCGUGCAUAUAUCGCGCGCUCGCUCGAAAACAGGUGCACGUCAGUGGCAAGCAAAUACGAUAAAAUAUCUAAUUUUGCGUCGUGCAACGCCGAAGAUUAAUCACCAAUUGAAAUCGAGAUCGAAAUCGAGUGAAAUUAAUCGCGUCACGCUUUUCGUCGCACAGAUCGUUCUCAAACGAUCGAUCGAAUCUGCAUGCGCGUUGGCUAAACGAGUCACGGUUCAAGGCCUUCCAUAUAAGUUUGCUUAGAAUUUUCUCAUGUGUUUUAUUAAUAAAAUUUAGCUUAUCAUGUCCAGAAGAGAUCGUUUCUUAUUGCUAUAUUAUCAGUUUUAAUUCAUUGCUGAGGAGUUUCAAUUACGUAAUGACUCGCGAGCAUAACGAGCUUAAAAGGAUCGACUACUUGAUUCAAAAGAAAGAGCUUGUUGGAAAAUAAAUUAAGCCGCUGCCGUUUCCGCGUACGAUUUCUCCGCAUCACCCCAUAUAUGUAGACGUUUCCUGGCGAUCUUAUCGGAACGAGGUUGCGUGCACGUCGUCAAAGAGUUUUGUUGGAAAAUGCACUUCAUGAAAAGUGCAUAGAACGCGCCAGACUUCCUCGCCGAGGGUCGUCGGCCGCCCGCUCCUUCGUGCCUCUCUCUCAUCUCGUGAAUACAAGAUCCCUCCCGGGGGACGCCCGAUCGCGGAAAAAGGGGUAUAAAAAUCGCAUAAAUCGUGUUUACGACACAGCCAGCGGGAGAGGGUAAUGCGGCGAAGGCAAACGUUUCUGAGAGUUUCGAGACGAACGCCUCUCGCGCCGAGAAGUGCGCGCGAUCGCCCUCGAACACGUAAUUCCCCAGCGAAUUGAACGGCCAACUCGUUCGCCUGGUAUCGAUACUCCGAGACCAUUAACGUUGCAAGUGUUACGAAGAAGCUGUUCUAUCGAAUGAUUGAUAUGCAUUCGAUACAGAUCGAUCCUUUGUGGUCAAAGAUAUUGGGUGUUUCUAUUAAAUGAAACGAAAGACUAGAGAAGAGGAUGAAAAAAAUUGAUACAAUCAGCGAAGUUGAGAUUAAAAAGAAGUGACAAAGGUAGAGAAAGAUUUGUCGAGUGUCGCGCAACUCGCUGAAGCUCAUUACUGAAACUGAGUGUUAACGAAGAAAAUGGAAAAUAUAGAUCAAUGUGCACUGAGAAAAAUAUCAUAGCCUAUCUAAUCGGAUAAUCCAAAUACAUAGUAACAAACGGAUAUGUCUGAUCAAAUUGUAUAUUCGAUGAAGAACAUAAUCGGACAUAUCCGAUGAAGGUAACCAUCAUUUAAUCGGAAAACAAAAUUAACCAUCGAAAACACUAUUUAAUCGGUUUAUCCGAUGGAAAUUUUUCUCAGUGUGAAAGAAAUGAAUGUUCUAUUCACAGUAUCGAUAUUAAAUAUUUGUGGCACAUUGAAUUCAUGUAUUCAUCACAUAAUGGUUAAAUUUCUAACGAAUUUUGGCAAAUAAUUGGAAAAUAUUGUAAACAUCUAUAAUUUUCAAGGAUACACGUGCGCGCACACAUUUUUUACUCGCGUCGCAACUUCGUCUGCAUUUGCAAGACGGCAGUACCGGUUAGUUGCCUAAAGUAAGAAUGAUAUACUAUAGCGUCACGCGGGGCGUAAUGCAUUUUAAGUGAAAAAUAGUGCUUCAGAAUGUAUCGCGCGUUGCGUUACGAAAACAGAUGGCUUCUUCUGCAUCACGUCGUUUUAUUCUGGCGCCGUGUCUGUUACGCGCGGGAAGUAACUCGACGUGUUUUACAGUAAGUCCGAAACGUCAGCCUUAAUUUCGUGUUAUUCUUUAUCAGCGUCUACACGGACGAUCUAUCCUCGGCUACUGAAAAAUUCUCGUUACGUACGACACUGAAUCACUGAUCUUAAAGGAAAAACAAAUUCACUUCGUGCAACAAAUCCUGUCUCAUGAAAUUCCAACAAGGAAAUCUUUCCGAUGAAUUUCAUUAACAACUGUGCUUUAAUCUAGAAUUUAAUAGAGAUACAUAUUUUAUCUUUAAUUUCCCGUAAAGAGUGUCUAUCUGUUGUUCUUUCUUUCCCUCUCGACCACAAGUUAUUGGAAUAAUGUCACCACACGAACUACGAACGACAGACUUUGGCAACAGACAAUUUGGCGUAAUCAGCUUGUUUAGUCGCUUGGUAAGUCGGGCGAUACGUGCGAAACGUCGAGUAUUUCGUCCGUCGACAAGGUUUCGUUCGCUAGAAUGGAGCUUUUGCCGCUCGAGGGUGGCGUCCUUGGUGCGAUCGGAGAAAUGUCCAGAAGACGAAGAGAAUGUUAGGAAAGUGGAAGAAAAUGGGGCCCGGUAAAGGGCUCGACAAAAAGGUAGCGGUUUGUGCCCGAAGCUAAUGCAUCCGUGGAGAAUCUGGGGAAAGUCACGAAACUAAGCGACCUGGAUGGAAGAAGACGAAGACGAAGACGAGGAAGAAAAAGAAAGAUAGAGAAAAGAGACGUCCGUUGACCCGGUGGCACACUUCCACUUCCAUUUCCAUUUCCAGGCGGCAUCGCGCGCGCGAAGCACAUCGAGCCGGCAGGAAUACAUGCGCGUGUGUGUAUAUGUGUGCACGCGCGCGAAUGCACAAGGAGAUGUGCACAUGCGGAUGUAGGGUUGGAUAAUUUAUCGAGAACAAUGAGCGCGGCGGCGCGAAACCUGCCAAACUGCAGAUUGGCUCGCGGGGAUCUCCGUAAUUUUGUUUCUUACCAAACUUCCCCGAUUACAGCCGCAGGCUGAGGAAAGAGAGAGGACGGGAGAGAAGAAUAUAAAUUUGCGGUGUGAGAUAUCGUCGGAUAUCAUCUAGCAGGAAAUCGAAUUCCCAGCCAUGAUCGGGUCAACGCAGUUUUGCCGAGCUGUCUCUCUUUCUCUCUCUCUCUCUCUCUCUCUCUCUUGCUCUUCGGCGCACGAUUCUUAAAACGACUUUAUUUUGGUGUUCAGUGUCAACAAAAAAAUUGUCAGCAUUUUUUCAGCAUCGCGUUUCUUUAUCCUUUCAAUGUCCAAAGUUCCCGCCAACUUUGGCGUCUCAUUCAGUUUUUCUCCUAACAAUCCGCAAGCGUAUCGCUUGCACGUUUCGCCGAGUACAAUGGCGAGACUUUGUGCGGACCAGCGCGCGAUCUCACUCACGACUAUAAUAAUCGUCUGCCCUUCCCAUCCCCUUGCCCUUUGCAAAGAGAGUACGCGACUACCUGUUUGCCGUAUGCAUGAGGUCGCGCAGAGGGCUCAAAGGCCUUUAAUCCGAGUCUGCGCGCAUGCAUAUACAUACGUAUGUACAUAGACCGAGAGCGAGUGCAUACAGUGCGGCGGCAACGGCGAUCGAGUAUACACCUACGGCAUUUUAUUUGCACGGCCGUGUGUAUCGACGACGAACCGACAGCACACAGAACUGGUCGCCCCCGACGUGCGAAUGAAAUUGUAGCAGCGCACACACGGUCAAAUAAGCCCGCGAGGCGGAAGGGACGCGUCGUCCAUCGCCAAAAUUGGUUUUGCCGUUUCGCAUGGCGGGCUUCGUACGAGAUUUCGUUCCGUGAUCAAUAUCACCGAUACACGUGGUGUAAUGUGUCUCUGCGUCUCGCGUCGUAAUAUUGCGGAUUCAAUACCGAGAAACAUCCACAAAGCUGAAUCGACAACUUUUCCUUUCAGCGCGAGUUAUCCUCAGUCUCAGUUUCAUGGAGAGUGCACAGAGAGCACAUUAGACAUGUGCAUCCUUUUAGAUGGAUCCAAAUCGCAAUUAAGCAGAAAGCUACAGGAAAUUAUAUUUUCAUCACUUUGGUGAAAUGUGAGAAAUAUCUCAAGGAGAAACGUGUGCAAGAGUUGCUUCUAACAAGAGCUUCUCCUUUCGUGACGUAUAUUCCGUCCGCGACGACCGAUUAUGGAACCGAAGAUAGAAUUCACAGGGCACGAUAUCAUGGUCUGUUGUUACGAGCAGACAAUGAACAUCCGUUUGAUCCGGACAUGGUGGUAAAUUUAUACAGCAGUUAAGACCGCCGUAACGGACCGAACACAAUGUGUUCCCGUCGAGAUCGCCUUCCAUGGACCGGCCGCAGCGCGUUCUUAACUGCCGACCGAGUUUACCGCGAAGUGGAUCACGGCAAGCACGAAACGCGAGAUUAACGCGCUCAUACAAAGAAGGCUCCACUCUCCUGAUAUCGAUAUCCAUCCUUGAAAUAAAAACAAAAACUCAAUUCCCAUGAAAACUCAACCAAAUUUCCAGAUUCGAGGAAUUACAUCAAUUACGCACUCGAUAAUCAAGACUGUUAACUUCUACAUUAUUACUCGUUAUCAUUUGUAUUUCAUGUUUAUUCUCAUUUGCCAUAUUAUAUUCUGGCAUCUAUUUUAUCAUAUAUUUUCUCCAUAUCUUAUUGAAUUUAAACAUAUUGCAGUUUCGUUAAAGGCUCAUUUUUUGAGUGAGAUGAAUCACUCGAGUGAACUGAAACAUGGACAGGCAAAUAAAUUAGCUGAUGAACGACGAAUGGAAGGUAGAGCGUGAAAUAAUCAUGCAAACCCAUUUUUUUAGUUAGACAAAAGAAAGAAAGGCGGCCCGAGCAUUAAAAUCUUUGAACGUCACGCGAUAAAUUCUCCUUCGUGCCUGAAAGCGCAAAGCAAAAUUUUCGCGGAUUUUGCACAUGGAACGUUAUCCUCAAUCACGAAUUCUCUCGAGUUGUGGCUUUUGAAUCCUUUCCUGCGGAAAACACUGUCACAAUAAAUUCUGUCAUCUCAAGCCCGCUAGAUUCACACUAAUCGACACUAGUGAAAAUUACAGGAUGAGACGAUUAAUCGCCUAAGAGGAGAGAAACUCUUCUUUUGAAAUGAAGAAUUGCGAGAGAAAUAGAUAUAGAUAUGACACAGAUAAAUCUUUCGUACAAUUCAUAACGCUUUUUCCAGUUUUGUUCAAUUGGAUGAAAUAAACAGAAAAUUUCCUCUGUG